rnacentral:piRNA from 1 species
UCGAGUAUACAGCUAGAGAUGAAAUGCAAACC